rnacentral:rRNA from 1 species
GACGAACGCUGGCGGCGUGCUUAACACAUGCAAGUCGAACGGAAAGGCCCUGCUUUUGUGGGGUGCUCGAGUGGCGAACGGGUGAGUAACACGUGAGUAACCUGCCCUUGACUUUGGGAUAACUUCAGGAAACUGGGGCUAAUACCGGAUAGGAGCUCCUGCUGCAUGGUGAGGGUUGGAAAGUUUCGGCGGUUGGGGAUGGACUCGCGGCUUAUCAGCUUGUUGGUGGGGUAGUGGCUUACCAAGGCUUUGACGGGUAGCCGGCCUGAGAGGGUGACCGGCCACAUUGGGACUGAGAUACGGCCCAGACUCCUACGGGAGGCAGCAGUGGGGAAUAUUGCACAAUGGGCGGAAGCCUGAUGCAGCAACGCCGCGUGCGGGAUGACGGCCUUCGGGUUGUAAACCGCUUUCGCCUGUGACGAAGUGUGAGUGACGGUAAUGGGUAAAGAAGCACCGGCUAACUACGUG